UUAGGAAAUUUUCACAAUGGGGGCAACCCUGAUGGAGUAACGCCGCGUGGAGGAUGACGGCCUUCGGGUUGUAAACUCCUUUUCUGUGGGAAGAGUAGAAGACGGUACCACAGGAAGAAGCCUCGGCUAACUACGUGCCAGCAGCCGCGGUAAUACGUAGGAGGCGAGCGUUGUCCGGAAUUACUGGGCGUAAAGAGCGCGUAGGCGGCGCGGUACGACCGGUGUGAAAGCCCCCGGCUCAACUGGGGAGGGUCACCGGUAACGGCCGGGCUAUGAGUGCAGGAGAGGGACGUGGAACUCCGGGAGUAGCGGUGAAAUGCGUAGAGACCCGGAGGAACACCAGUGGCGAAGGCGGCGUCCUGGCCUGCGACUGACGCUGAGGCGCGAAAGCUAGGGGAGCAAACGGGAUUAGAUACCCCCGUAGUCC
rnacentral:rRNA from 1 species